UACGAAGGGGGCUAGCGUUGCUCGGAAUUACUGGGCGUAAAGCGUGCGCAGGCGGGCUUUUAAGCCAGACGUGAAAUCCCCGGGCUUAACCUGGGAAUGGCGUUUGGGACUGGGAGUCUGGAGUGCGGCAGAGGAGACUGGAAUUCCUGGUGUAGCAGUGAAAUGCGUAGAUAUCAAGCAGAACACCUGCGGCGAAGGCGGCCUUCUGGACGAUGACUGACGCUGAGACGCGAAAGCGUGGGGAGCAAACAGG
rnacentral:rRNA from 1 species